UUCUUGGUCAUUUAGAGGAAGUAAGAGUCGUAACAAGGUUUCCGUAGGUGAACCUGCGGAAGGAUCAUUAAAGAAAUUUAAUAAUUUUGAAAAUGGAUUUUUUUGUUUUGGCAAGAGCAUGAGAGCUUUUACUGGGCAAGAAGACAAGAGAUGGAGAGUCCAGCCGGGCCUGCGCUUAAGUGCGCGGUCGUGCUAGGCUUGUAAGUUUCUUUCUUGCUAUUCCAAACGGUGAGAGAUUUCUGUGCUUUUGUUAUAGGACAAUUAAAACCGUUUCAAUACAACACACUGUGGAGUUUUCAUAUCUUUGCAACUUUUUCUUUGGGCAUUCGAGCAAUCGGGGCCCAGAGGUAACAAACACAAACAAUUUUAUCUAUUCAUUAAAUUUUUGUCAAAAACAAGAAUUUUCGUAACUGGAAAUUUUAAAAUAUUAAAAACCUUCAACAACGGAUCUCUUGGUUCUCGCAUCGAUGAAGAACGCAGCGAAAUGCGAUACGUAAUGUGAAUUGCAGAAUUCCGUGAAUCAUCGAAUCUUUGAACGCACAUUGCGCCCCUUGGUAUUCCAGGGGGCAUGCCUGUUUGAGCGUCAUUUCCUUCUCAAACAUUCUGUUUGGUAGUGAGUGAUACUCUUUGGAGUUAACUUGAAAUUGCUGGCCUUUUCAUUGGAUGUUUUUUUUCCAAAGAGAGGUUUCUCUGCGUGCUUGAGGUAUAAUGCAAGUACGGUCGUUUUAGGUUUUACCAACUGCGGCUAAUCUUUUUUUAUACUGAGCGUAUUGGAACGUUAUCGAUAAGAAGAGAGCGUCUAGGCGAACAAUGUUCUUAAAGUUUGACCUCAAAUCAGGUAGGAGUACCCGCUGAACUUAAGCAUAUCAAUAAGCGGAGGAA
rnacentral:rRNA from 1 species